UGGGGAAUCUUAGACAAUGGGGGAAACCCUGAUCUAGCCAUGCCGCGUGAGCGAUGAAGGCCUUAGGGUUGUAAAGCUCUUUCAGCUGGGAAGAUAAUGACGGUACCAGCAGAAGAAGCCCCGGCUAACUCCGUGCCAGCAGCCGCGGUAAUACGGAGGGGGCUAGCGUUGUUCGGAAUUACUGGGCGUAAAGCGCACGUAGGCGGAUUAUUAAGUCGGGGGUGAAAUCCCGGGGCUCAACCCCGGAACUGCCUUCGAUACUGGUAGUCUUGAGGUCGAGAGAGGUGAGUGGAAUUCCGAGUGUAGAGGUGAAAUUCGUAGAUAUUCGGAGGAACACCAGUGGCGAAGGCGGCUCACUGGCUCGAUACUGACGCUGAGGUGCGAAAGCGUGGGGAGCAAACA
rnacentral:rRNA from 1 species